rnacentral:rRNA from 1 species
CGCCUUUCGAUAAAUUAACAUGAAAGGUCCUGCCUGCCCAGUGACAUACUUAAACGGCCGCGGUAUUAUGACCGUGCAAAGGUAGCAUAAUCACUUGUCUUUUAAAUAAAGACCAGUAUGAAUGGCAAGACGAAACCCAACUGUCUCCUUAAGCUAGUCAAUGAAAUUGAUUUUCCCGUGCAGAAGCGGGAAUAUAUAUAUAAGACGAGAAGACCCUGUGGAGCUUAAAAUAAAACUAUAUAGAUAUUCUAUAAUAGUAUUAAAUUUUUGGUUGGGGCGACCAUGAGGUAAAACACAACCCUCAAGACAACAACUAGAAGGACACUUCAAAAUAAAACUAUACAUUGACCCAAUAAUGAUCAACGAACCAAGUUACCCCAGGGAUAACAGCGCAAUCCAUUCCCAGAGUCCAUAUCGACGAAUGGGUUUACGACCUCGAUGUUGGAUCAGGACCCCCUAAUGGUGCAACAACUAUUAAAGGUUCGUUUGUUCAACGAUUAAAGUCCU